AUGGUGAAGCUGACAUGCGUGCAGCUGCUCAUGGUGGCCUUCCAGGCUACGCUCAUCACCAUGUCAUCUGCAGAAUUGCCCUACAAUUUCUACAGUUCGUCGUGCCCCAACGCCGAGGAAACAAUCAAGAAUACCGUCUACAACUUGAUCGACGGCAACCCAAGUAUUGCUGCGGCCUUAAUUCGCAUGCACUUCCACGAUUGCUUUGUAAUGGGUUGUGACGCUUCCAUCCUUCUGGACUCCUCGAACUCCAACCCCCAGCCGGAAAAGUCAGCCAUUCCCUUGGCUGGGUAUGAGGCCGUCGACAAGAUCAAGGCGGCCGUCGAGGCCGUGUGUCCUUUGACGGUCUCCUGCGCCGAUGUCCUCGCCUUCGCCGCACGCGACUCUGUCAGUAAAUCCGCCGGUUUCUCCUACCACGUCCGCUCCGGGAGGCGUGACGGCAAUGUGUCGAAAGCCUUCUCCGUCGUCACGAACAUGCCGUCGCCUUUCUUCGGAAUCGAGGACCUUGUCGGCAGCUUCACCCGGAAGGGGCUCAAUGUUGAUGACCUCGUGGCUCUCUCUGGCGCGCACUCCAUCGGUGUGGCACACUGCUCCGGCUUCACCAACCGGCUGUACCCUGAGGUGGACACGACAAUGGACUCCGCAUACGCCACAGACCUAAAGAAGACGUGCCCAGCACCGGUGCGUGGUGCGCCGGACCCGGUGGUGAACAACAGCGCGGUGGCGCCGACGACGCUGAGCAACCAGUUCUUCAAGAACGCUGUCGCUAGGCGAGUGUUGUUCACGUCGGACGCGGCGCUGCUCACCCGCAACGACACAGGGGCGAAGGUGCAGGAAAACGCUGCGGACUCCUUGUUGUGGAAGGUGCGGUUUGCGGCGUCGAUGGUGAAGAUGGGAAACAUCGAAGUGCUUACAGGGACGAAUGGGCAGGUCAGGAAGUUCUGCCGUACCAUAAACAGCUAA
rnacentral:rRNA from 1 species